rnacentral:tRNA from 1 species
AAAUUCUACUUAAACUACCCCUUG